rnacentral:tRNA from 1 species
GUAGACGUAGUUUAACAAAAACACUGGGUUGUGAUUUCAGAAACAAGGGUUAAAAUCCCCUCGUCCACC